rnacentral:rRNA from 1 species
AGCAGCCGCGGUAAUUCCAGCUCCAAUAGUGUAUAUUAAAGUUGCUGCGGUUAAAAAGCUCGUAGUUGGAUUUCGAAAUGCGUUGGGCAAAGCUCGUUUUAGGACGUGGCUCGUCAGGCGCUUUCUAUCUUUAGGUAAUGGCCCUCUCGCUUCACGGCUUGGGGAUCACCGUUCCUAAUCGUUUACUGUGAAAAAAU